GAAGAUGCUUCUCAAUUAACAAUUUGGAGUUUUGAGGCGUAGAUAUGGCAAUCGUACUUGCGUAGCAGAUUGAGUUCAAAAUCCUAAUGCUAACAUGCGUUAUUGAAUACAGCCUGCAGAUGAGCUUUUCAUUUUAUUAUUCUUCAAGGGCAGGUUCCUUUCUUCUUGGGUAGCUUGAAUUUACAUCUCCUUUUCUCAUCUUAUCUGGACAUAGAUAUUAGUGGUAGCUGCAUGUCUCCCCCUUUUAAGAAGGGCUUAGUUCAAUUUGCUAUUUAGGUAUACUGGUUCUUCUUAUGUUUCCUGUUGCUAGUUUCUGCAAGUAACGUACUCUUUUAAAAAGUAAUUAAUAUGAUAAGUUCAAUAUAAAAGAGUACGUUACUUGCAGAAACUAG
rnacentral:misc_RNA from 1 species